rfam:Myotis brandtii contig234292, whole genome shotgun sequence.
GGUGGUUCUCAGGUGACACACCCUGGAACUAGAGAGAAGGGAGCCCAAUUCCAGGGUGCAUCACUCGAGAACCACC